rnacentral:rRNA from 1 species
GGCCAGACUCCUACGGGAGGCAGCAGUGGGGGAUAUUGGACAAUGGGGGGAACCCUGAUCCAGCGACGCCGCGUGAGUGAAGAAGUAUCUCGGUAUGUAAAGCUCUAUCAGCAGGGAAGAAAGAAAUGACGGUACCUGAGUAAGAAGCCCCGGCUAACUACGUGCCAGCAGCCGCGGUAAUACGUAGGGGGCAAGCGUUAUCCGGAAUUACUGGGUGUAAAGGGAGCGUAGACGGUAGAGCAAGUCUGAAGUGAAAGCCCGCGGCUCAACUGCGGGACUGCUUUGGAAACUGUUCAACUGGAGUGCUGGAGAGGUAAGCGGAAUUCCUAGUGUAGCGGUGAAAUGCGUAGAUAUUAGGAGGAACACCAGUGGCGAAGGCGGCUUACUGGACAGUAACUGACGUUGAGGCUUGAAAGCGUGGGGAGCAAACAGGAUUAGAUACCCUUGUAGA